rnacentral:rRNA from 1 species
UACGUAGGGCCCGAGCGUUAUCCGGAGUGACUGGGCGUAAAGAGUUGCGUAGGCGGUUUGUUAAGCAGAUAGUGAAAUCAUAUGGCUCAACCAUUAUGGCUAUUGUCUGAACUGGCAAACUCGAGAGUGGUAGAGGUAACUGGAAUUUCUAGUGUAGGAGUGAAAUCCGUAGAUAUUAGAAGGAACACCAAUGGCGUAGGCAGGUUACUGGACCAUUUCUGACGCUAAGGCACGAAAGCGUGGGGAGCGAACCGG